UCGAUGAAUGGCUUUGCCAACCUUGCUGAA
rnacentral:piRNA from 1 species